GGAAUAUUGCACGAUGGUCGCAAGCCUGAUGCAGCCACGCCGCGUGUAUGAAGAAGGCCUUCGGGGUGUAAAGUACUUUCAGUGGGGAGGAAGGCGAUAAGGUUAAUAACCUUGUCGAUUGACGUUACCCGCAGAAGAAGCACCGGCUACCUCCGUGCCAGCAGCCGCGGUAAUACGGAGGGUGCAAGCGUUAAUCGGAAUUACUGGGCGUAAAGCGCACGCAGGCGGUCUGUCAAGUCGGAUGUGAAAUCCCCGGGCUCAACCUGGGAACUGCAUCCGAAACUGGCAGGCUAGAGUCUUGUAGAGGGGGGUAGAAUUCCAGGUGUAGCGGUGAAAUGCGUAGAGAUCUGGAGGAAUACCGGUGGCGAAGGCGGCCCCCUGGACAAAGACUGACGCUCAGGUGCGAAAGCGUGGGGAGCA
rnacentral:rRNA from 1 species